UACGUAGGGGGCUAGCGUUGUCCGGAAUUAUUGGGCGUAAAGGGCUCGUAGGCGGUUUGUCGCGUCGGGAGUGAAAACCAGGUGCCUAACACCUGGCUUGCUUUCGAUACGGGCAGACUAGAGGUAUGCAGGGGAGAACGGAAUUCCUGGUGUAGCGGUGAAAUGCGCAGAUAUCAGGAGGAACACCGGUGGCGAAGGCGGUUCUCUGGGCAUGACCUGACGCUGAGGAGCGAAAGUGUGGGGAGCGAACAGG
rnacentral:rRNA from 1 species